ACAAAGGCUCUUUUCAGAGCCACCUACGACUUCCGUUAAAUGAGCU
rfam:Papio anubis isolate 1X1155 chromosome 4, whole genome shotgun sequence.